CGGCGCAAGUCUCGUACGUUUCGUGAUUUCAUCCCCUCCCGGGACGGCGAUCGCCGCGACGCUGGUUCGGCCGCCUCGCGCCGCAUUGCGAGCCGACGCCACAGGGUCGGAGCACCCACCGAUGCGCCCGCCGGGACGGCCACGGGCUGCUAUGCGCAGGUGAAAGGGUGUGUCGUGCGGAUUCGCGGCGCGGCGUCAACCGCUCUUUCACCCACUGGAUUUCCAUAGCUUGCAAACUCAAUUGCCGAGAUCUGUUUGCCUUCCUGGCACGAGAUAUCUACCGCUGGUUCGUUAUCCUGGGAAUGAAGCAAUGAUGCAGAGAGCUCAUUCACAUGGCCACACACUCUUGUGAUGGAAACUGUGUUCACUGUUAUCUGUUGUGGGUCCCCGCCCAUUUCCUCAAAAAGGACUAGAACAUUGUCUUGAGGGUUUAGAAAUUGCCGUGGGAUGUGAUACCUGAGGAAUGAGGUACCAGUCUAGCUUGUAAGGUUAUCUGGAGGAGAAGGUUCAGCGGCGACAGAGGUGAUAAUGAGAAUUUGAGCUAUUUCUUCUUACAGCGAUUGCGAAGGAUUGCCGCUAGGAGCCUUGAAGGAGACCCAAUACCGUCCGAUGCUCUCUCCAUUGAUCCAUACUUCACCUUUUCCCAUACCAGUAAGGUUCAGUAUCACUGCAUCGUUUCCUGCUGGUGUGGGAAAUGUUGUCUGGCCAUAGAACAAAUGAUGAAUGGUGUUGUUUACUGCUGUAAAGUGUAUACAUAACCAACAGUUAUGAACCAAUUGUUCUGUACUUUUUAUACCUUGUACCAAGUAAGCGAACUGUAUGUCAAAUUGUUGAUAGCUGUCCAUUCAACAUUUUUUGAUC